rnacentral:lncRNA from 1 species
UCUUUUGCUAUUGAAUAAUUUUUAUUCGGGUUUUCAGUAUAGUUUAGUAGUGCUUAUUAGAAUGCAAUACUCUUUUUUUAUAGAGGGGUACUUUUUUUUUUUAUAAUAUAGAGCAGUACUCUUAAAUCAUAUUCUCAAAAUAUUAUGCACAAAAAAUUAUUAGAUCGAAUUGUAGUCUUGCAAGAUCAUAAAAGCAAUAUAAAGGAUACAAUUUAUAAAUCCAG